rnacentral:rRNA from 1 species
UACAGAGGUCCCAAGCGUUGUUCGGAUUUACUGGGCGUAAAGGGUGCGUAGGUGGUGAGGUAAGUCUGAUGUGAAAUCUCCGAGCUUAACUCGGAAAUGGCAUUGGAAACUACCUUGCUAGAGGGUUGGAGGGGGGACUGGAAUACUUGGUGUAGCAGUGAAAAUGCGUAGAUAUCAAGUGGAACACCAGUGGCGAAGGCGAGUCCCUGGACAACUCCUGACACUGAGGCACGAAAGCUAGGGGAGCAAACAGG